AAAAACAAACUAUUAUUAUUUUUUUAAAUCUUAAGGUGAGUUCUCCAAAAAACAAUUGAAAAUAUAGUUACUUAAACAUCAAUCACCUUAGAUCUUGUAUGGAAUUAUCUUAUCUUCUCUGUAUAAAUAUAAAAGAGAAUGUGUGUGUGUGUAUGUCCUUUAUGUAGGGAUGGGCAUCGAGUGAAGUGCGAGGAAAACGCGGGAGCGAGACAUAUGGUACAUUUGAUUAAAGUUAUGGAUUUGGAGGAUAGAAUAUCACACGAUCCUGAUAUAGAAAUGGAUUUUAGGAAAAAUGGUUGGGGGAAAUAUGGCAUGGGAAAGAAGGUCAAAAAAAAGAGUCUAAAGAAAAAUAAACAAACACGACAACGGUUAGAAUAGUAGAAAAACUUCAUUCUCCCGUGACUAGACAUUAACCAAUUCAACAUAUCUAUUUUAUUACAAAUUGAUAGAUAAAGGAUAAUAUUAUAUCAAGUUCGAACCAAGGUUUUGCGUAAAAAAAGGAGGAAAGAUCAUAGAAAGAAAGAGAAAAAAAGGAAGAGAAAAGAGGAAGAAUGUAAACAGAUUUAAAUCAAGGAUGAGACUUGAUCAGUUACCUUGUUGAAUCUGUCGUAGAACGUGAUCUUUUUAUCAGUAUUAUUCUUCCCUUCUCUGUGUGGCCGACAGGAUGCUGAGGAUCCGUAUCUACUGGUUCCGAUAUCAAGACUUCCAAAGAACUCGUGCCAAUAAGACCAUUAUCCAUAUCUUGGACAGCCGGCCGAGCCAAGACAUCUCAAGCUAUGGUUGUUAAGGCAUGUAAUACUAAAGACCUGUAAGCAGACGCUAUAUGGCUCACUUCAAAAUGAGGAAAAUAUUAGAAAAAAACUUAGUUCGACCUCACAGAUUAAGUGUGGUGCUCCAGGUUGUAAACAAGGAUAUAUGAAUACUUAGUGCUCAAGAUCCAGUAUCCUAGCACCGCUUUCCUUCCAAACUCUAGAAUAAGUGGAUAAAUACCAAACCACGGGGGAUGGAGGCAAUUAAUCAUCUAAAAGACACUUGGACUAACUCAGUGGCUUCAUCGAGAGUGCUCAUAUCGGGGAUUGUAUCAACCAUAGCAUUACUUCCUAAAAAUUUGACUUUGUCUCGAAAUAUUCGACGAUGGAGACAACAAGUAAAUCAAGCCCCUCCUAUUCAAAACUGGAUAUGAUAUUCCAGUAUAUAAAAUAUUAAAAAAUGGGGACAAAUUUUUAGUCUAUGAUAGCGGCGCAGAUGAUUCAUAGAGGAUUCUUAUUUUGGAACUAAUUAUGGGACUCAUGAUUUGAUAGAAAAUAGAAAUUGGGCAUGCUACGGAACUUUUAAAAGCUGUCCAAAUAUUUUCUAUCAACUUUUUACAAUCCAUAGUGGAAUAAAAACGACAUCAAUUCCACGUCUUUUUAUCCUCCUACCGGAAAAAGCUCAAGUCAUUUAUUUCAAGUUAUUCAGCACUCUAAAAAUCUUUUUCCAUGACUCAAACCACUUACACUGAUGGUAGAUUUUGAAAAAGUGACUAUAAAUGCUUUUCGAGAGGUAUUUCCGUCUACCAUGUUUACUGGAUGCCUCUUUCAUAUGGCGAAGAAUAUUUACAAAUACAUUGUUAAUCUUGGUUUAAAAAAACUUAUAUGAAAGAGACACGUAAUUCAACACCAAGAUUAAGUGCUUCACUGCAUUAUCGUUUUUACCGGUGAAAGACGUAGCUGAGGGAUUUGUCGAUCUAUUAAGUGACGAUUCUUUGCCACAGCAAUUUGUUUGGUAUUUUGUAAUGAAUUAUAUUGGUACUGAGCGAGAUGGGGUCACGUUAAUGUAAUGGUUUCUCCCCUGGAU
rnacentral:lncRNA from 1 species